AGAAAUUUGAAAGCGGGCUAAAAACAGUGAAAGGACAAAAACUCUAAAAACCGAGAAAAGAGCGACUGAGGGCUCUGGAAAUACUUCCCGAACUGUGGUUUAUGACAAAAUCACUUGACGACACAGUGAGAGAGGAGAGGGAGAGACGCUGUGCUGCUGCCAGAGGAGCCGCUGAAUGAGUUCCCUCUGAGCGGCAUCCUUCUUCACCAAAGACUAUCCUGUCCACAAACUGUACCUGGUGCGGGCAGCUCCAGCUUCGCCCUCCUGAGCUCCGUCAUGGACGCCUGUAGCUGCUCGAUCACAAAGUCGUCCUCGAAGAAGAAAUCUUUGGACAAAGUCACC